rnacentral:lncRNA from 12 species
GCGGUUUGGCGCCUGCCUUUGGCCCAGGGCGCAAUCCUGGAGACCGGGGAUCCAAUCCCACAUCGGGCUCUCGGUGCAUGGAGCCUGCUUCUCCCUCUGCCUGUGUCUCUGCCUCUCUCUCUCUCUCUCUCUCUGUGACUAUCAUAAAAAAAAUAAAAUAAAAAAAUAAAAAAAAAAAAGUCCCUUCUCUCUUAGUGUCUUUCCUUUUCAGCUCCUUGGCCCACGUGUGCAGAUAAUUAUCUGGUAAACACCAAGGAAUUCUCUUCCCAGGGUAAAAGCGUUGAAGGAAGAACCCAGGCUCCCAGGGAAUAAAGGGGCACCUACGGUGUAGCCGCAUCGGGCGUUUCCCGAGACCUCCUGGGGUCCUGAACAGUUUCGGCUUCUUUGGAAGGACGUCAUAGUUGAGAACACUUUCCCUCUUUGAUAGACUCACCGUUCAGGAGGUAGGUGGGCGUCCUGCAGCGCGUCCGGGGACAUCACGUUGCAAUCACCCGAGCCAGCCCUCCAGAUGCCAGAAAGCCGUCAAGCAAACCACCCAUUGGCCGGAUCCCUUUCUUGCACCAUUAUUUCCUCUCUGAAUACAAAAAUAGCCUCCUUAAGGGAAAACGGAGUUAGUGGGCUGCAAGAAAGACGGUUGCUUUUGGAACCCGCUCAAGCACUUCUGCACAACACGUAAUGCGAUUGAGUCCGGAAUUUCACUGUAUAGGAUCAGCAUUUUGUGAGAUCCUUUAGAAAGGCCGUAUUGCAGAGGCUAAGUGGUGGGCGAUUUAUGUGCAUUUGACCUGACCCGUUUCACUGCUUAAUUUAGAUGGACUUUAGGAUUUUAAAAGUCAUCCCCUGACACCUCUGUGCGUGCUGUGUGGUUCCCUUUCACUGCAAGGUUGCAGUGACCUUAAACAGUCACAUGAAUCACGGUUCAUGUGCUUUGAGCCUGUCCUGUCGGGGGAAAGGGAAGAGGGUAAACAGGAAGAAAGGACAUCAUGGAGCAAAAAGUGGCAUAUUUUAGAGUAAGUAAAAUCAAGCUACUCGUGGACUUGACUGGAAAAAGUUUUCAGGACAAACAUCCAAGCGUGCAAGCCAACAAGGCCCUGAGACACCCGAUCUCUGGUAUAUUCGUGUGGUUCCCUCCGCAGGUCACGGAAGCUGGUCCAUUGAAAAGAAAACUGAGGAUUAUCUUGAUAUGUACCCGAAAAGGUCCACUGGCUAUCCUGGCACACUUAGAGCCC